UCUCCUCGUUACUAUCGAUUUUUUUUCACUAAAAAAACCUAAAUCUUGUAGCUUUCACUCCUUCUCGUGGAAAGAAAAAUCCUAAACCUAACUUCGAUAUUUCUCCUACUCCAAUUCUACAAGAGAAUCAUUCCCACCUUGUUAUCAAUUGUUUGCUUAUAAAAUCCUAAAUGGUGUUAACUAACUUAACCCUAAAUACCAUUAAAAUCCAAUCAAAACUGAACCAAUUUUUGGAGUUUUUUCCUUCUUUCUUCUCCAACGACAACCUGGAUAAUCAGAAGAUCGUGUUACAAACCCUAGGUACUGAAAUAUCAUAGGGUAAAUGAUAUCUCCUUCUCUGUUUGCUUCUCUUGAAAAUCUAGAUUCUUCCAUUUUUUAUGUCUGGGAAUUUAAUUCCUUUGUUUAGUAUGAUUUUGUGUUUCAAUUUUGAAAUCUAAUCUGUAUUGGUUUAAUUUUAUAAUUUAUGGAUAUGGGAUUUUGUAACUACAAGAAUCGAUGAUUAUAGGGAGCAGAGGAGGUAAGGAAAAUAAGAGAGAAUAAGGUCAAUAGAAGUGGUGGCGGUGGUGUUUAUUCUUUGCCUCAUUAGAAAACGAUGAAAGAUUGGCUGUAUUGCGAACUGUUCAUGUAGGUAAAUACUCAUUCUGGUAUGAAAUUGUAUGGACGGAAUAUUGAAUGGUGGUUUUUUAUAGAACCUGAAUGUACAUUACUCGGGGCAUAGCCGUCAAAAGUGUUAUUGUGCAUGCAUUUCUGAUUUUGGUGGAUUAUAUUUAAAUUUACUGUCUACGGCAGUGUAUGCAAAUAUUUUAUCACUUCGACACACACUUGAAAUGUUUGAUUUUGGGUUUUCAUGGCUAGUAUAUGUUGACAAUAAUUAUGUUGCUUCUCUUUUGUCCUUUGAAACCUCUGAUAGACUUGGUAUGCUUGUGUUCCUGGUUAAAAGAAUAGGACAUAAUUUUGGAUGUUUCAAUAGAUAAGAAAAGAUACAUGCCACUACCUAGAUAAGAGGUGUGACUCAUCCUAGUAUAUUCAUCUUUAGUGCAUACAUAUGCUAUUCAGUUCUCCGUACUCGAGAGCUGAAAUUUAUGACAGAUGACAACCCAAAUUUUGUAUUAUAUUAUCUUUUUUUUUUUGAGCGAGUAUUAUAUGAUCUAAUGACUCUUUAAUGGAAAGUAGCUAAGAAGUAAUAUUGGUAUAUGUUUUCAUUUGUGUUAUUGUGCCAUUUACUGUAUUUAUUCAUGGGUUUUCAUAUGAUUUAUGGUGAUCUUGUUUGUUGUGUUGUUAGAUAUUGAUCAAAUAUAUACACAAUUAUUAUACUGUGUAACCAGAUUGGAUUCUACUGAGGUUAUAUAAAGAAUGUUUCUAGGUAAUGUAUUAAGCAUUUAAGUAAUGGGUACAUAGAUGAAUUUGUUUUUAUGUUUAAUGUUCAUAUGGUUCAUUGUUUUAUAUUCGUGUAAAUAAAUAACUGUGACUGGAUAAUGAUCAAUUAUUCACACAUAUUGAAUAGAUGUUGUUGUCUAAAAUGAAAAAUUAGUUGUUGGAAUUUCUGUUACACCGUUUUUCUUAAAGUUGCAAGAUGUGAAGUUGAUCUGUUGAUGAAACUGAAGUGGCACAUUGUUUGCAGGUUAAAGCAUCCUUAUUUCCGAAGUAACUUUGUGGGAACGAUAAGAAUGUUCUAGGCUUCUAAUAAUAAAGUCCUUGCUUUCAUAGAUUUCUUACUUCUUAAGCAGUCGUAGCUUUUGUAUUACCCCAAGGUCUAAAAUUUGGGUUCAUUUUAGAGCUCUUCUUAUCAAGGGGAUUAUAUCUGCCCAGUGAGAUCGAAGGACAAUCAAAUUGGAAUUUCUUUUUUCGCAGAAUAAGCUCGUCUUAUAGUUGAUCUGAAUUUGCAGAUGCUCAUAGGAGUUUGGUGGGAUAUACGGAUAUGAACGAUUUUACUAAGCAAGUCGAGACUGCAGGCAUGAAUUGUUCCAUUUUGGAAACUCAAACAUUUCAUAACUCUUUAUGAUGCUCCUGAUGCUUCCAUAUUCUCUUGUUGCAGGUUUUGGCUGAAUCAGUUGACUCAGUGAGUGAGUUUGAAAAUUGGUGGCUGAGCCAAAAUCAAUGAACUUCUGCAUUACACGGAGAAACCCGAGACUUUUGUAGUACAAGCCCCUAAAAGUAGCUGACUUGUUCAAUCAUAUUUAAGUGAUAACAGUGUUUCAGAGCUUCAAGUGGUAUUAGCUUACUCUGAAGCUACAGAAUGACUAAUGAGUGCUUCAGCAGGUUUUACUCAUCUUUAAUCUUGGUUUUCAUAUUUAUAGCUAAUCUUCAACAUGUAUCCAUCUUUCUCUUCAGUCUGCAACAAAGUCGUUCCCUACUGAUUUAUAAGACUGGAAGAUAUCAUGUAACGCUUGCUGCGAAGAGAAGUAACUUUAUACUUAUGAGGCUAUAUUUCUGGGAACACAUCAAAAAUCAUGAGUAGACCAAUCUGCAAGUAAAGAAAUGUUACGUCAUCCAUCUGAUUUGCUCAUUUUAAUUUUAUUAUUUACUGUUCAACAAUCAUUUGUUGGAAACUCAACACUAGACUUGAGUUUCUGUUGGGUUUAGAUUUUUUUUAUGUUGCUUGAAUGGAACCGGUUGCUUAUUGAGUGUAACAAAUUUUGACCUUGUAAUUCUUUUUAGUAAAUAAAUGAUGUUGUUGGAAUAA